CUACGGGGGGCAGCAGUCGAGGAAAUUUUACAAUGCUCGCAAGAGUGAUAGAAUAAACCAGAGUGUUCUAUUUAAUAGAACUUUUAUCUGCUGUAAAAAGGCAGAUGAAUAAGGGCUGGGCAAGACCGGUGCCAGCCGCCGCGGUAAUACCGGCGGUCCAAGUCGUAUCCACAUUUAUUGGGUCUAAAACAUUCGUAGCUUGUUUUGCAAGUCUCUUGUGAAAUCUGACAUCUCAAAUGUCAGGCGUGCAAGAGAUACUACAUUACUAGAGACCGGAAGACGUAAGGAGUAUGGUUGAGGUAGCGGUAAAAUGUGUUAAUCUCAAUUAGACUAACAAUGGCGAAGGCACCUUACGAGUACGGAUCUGACAGUGAGGGAUGAAGGCUAGGGGCGCAAAAGGGAUUAGAUACCCCCGUAGUC
rnacentral:rRNA from 1 species